GAAGAUCAACGGAGCAGCGAGCGGAAGGAGAGGUGGGAAAGGGAGCUGGUCGUCUAUCGGGAGGCUGCGGAAUGGACGGGUCGGAAACAAAAUUCUCGUCUGUGGGAUUGUUUUUUGUUUGCUUCCAACCCCGCCCAUUCCAUAGUUUUCCGAUUGAUCCUCCCCUUCCUUCCUUAUCCUCUACCUACUUCCUUCUGUUCAAGUUGAAGCCUUGAAGACAGGAAUCUGUAAUUGCUCUAAGAUAUUUAGAUCUACUCUGUCAAAACUGAAACGUAUGAAGAGGCAUCACUUGGUUUUCUCUGAAGCAUUAUGAGAUGCUUGUGCUAAAUUAAAACCAGAAGUUUCAACUAUGGCAGGGGUAAAAGUUGUAGAAAUGAAAAGAUAAAUAAGAGUCUCCUAAGCUAAGCGGCCUUAACAUAUGUUGACCGUGAGACCAUGUCAGCUCCCCGAAUACAAUAGUCUUCUCUCCCAUGGCGGAUCUAAUGGCUGAGGGGCUCCGGAGUCCAGUCUGGGUGGGUGGUGUGUUCUGAGCAGGCCGGCAAUGCCAGAAAUACAGGGACAUGGCAUGGAUGUGCCAGAUAGGGUUAAAUUGAACCCGGCAGUUGUCGUCCUCACUUGCAGGUCCCGCUGCCUGGGUGAAGGUAGCCAUGAAUGGGGRGAAUCUUGAGGAUCUCUGAUCGAUGUAAUGAUAUUGGGUUCCCUGGAUGGGAAAGCAGCCAUGAAUGGUGCUGGCUCGACGUCCAAUUGAGUUGUGGGAGGCGUUAAAAAUAAAUAUCAACUUCAGAUUGAUGGUCCACGUCCACCUAUGAGGAAUAAUCUCUAGUUAGAUCCGGACCAGAGCCUCAUAAUAUUGUUAUAUGUARUAAUUUUUUGUUGUUUUUUGAGAAAAUAUGCAUUACAUUGCAUUAUUAUUGAUUCUACUAAUCAAAUCAAUUGUUAGUUAGCUUCA